rnacentral:lncRNA from 1 species
AAAAACAAACCUGACCCGUGCUUGCACACAGUGGGUGCUUUAUUAAGGCUUGGUUCCAUCAUCCCUAGAGCCAUAUGCUGCUGUGGGUUCCAGUCUGGGCCCUCUUUUCUCUAGGACCCUCCCAUCCCCUCCCCGGCUUGCCCAUGUCCUUCUGUGUUGCUUCUAACUCUUGUCAUGUGGGUCAAACCUCCCUACAGUUCUGGAUGCUGAUUUUGGCCACCACCAUCCCCAUCCCCGCAGGAUACUUUUUGCCCAUCUUUGUCUACGGUAAGACUUGAGUCCUGAAUGUCUGAGAGGGCCUAAGUGCAUAGGGCCAUAACUUCCCCAUACCGUCUCCCUCCCAAAGUGGUACUAGGGAUGGGGCAGGGCUUGAGGGGUCAAGUCAGCAUGGUUGUUUCCUUCACCCUGAAUCUGUGGCAGGAGCUGCCAUCGGGCGCCUCUUUGGGGAGGUUCUAUCUUUGGCCUUCCCAGAGGGCAUUGUGGCUGGAGGCAAGGUCAGUCCCAUCAUGCCCGGGGCCUAUGCUCUGGCAGGUAAGUGGAUCUGGAACCAGCAGGCGGGCUUACCUCACAGGUUGAUUGCAAACAAAGAAGUUUAUGGAGUAGCCUUUGAGCUGCCCAUAAGAGAGGAUCCCCC